AUCACGUUGAAAUACCGGUUCACGUACGACCACCGAAGUUAAGCAAUGUCGAGCCUGGUCUGUACAUAGAUAGGUGCCGCUUGGGAAUACCAGAUGCUGUU
rnacentral:rRNA from 1 species